AUACGUAGGGUGCUAGCGUUAUCCGGAUUUACUGGGCGUAAAGGGUGCGUAGGUGGUCUUUCAAGUCAGAAGUGAAAGGCUACGGCUCAACCGUAGUAAGCUUUUGAAACUAAGAGACUUGAGUGCAGGAGAGGAGAGUAGAAUUCCUAGUGUAGCGGUGAAAUGCGUAGAUAUUAGGAGGAAUACCAGUUGCGAAGGCGGCUCUCUGGACUGUAACUGACACUGAGGCACGAAAGCGUGGGGAGCAAACAGGAUUAGAUACCCUGGUAGUCCACGCCGUAAACGAUGAGUACUAGCUGUCGGGGGUUACCCCCCUCGGUGGCGCAGCUAACGCAUUAAGUACUCCGCCUGGGAAGUACGCUCGCAAGAGUGAAACUCAAAUGAAUUGGCGGGG
rnacentral:rRNA from 1 species